rnacentral:rRNA from 1 species
AGUGAACGCUGGCGGUAGGCCUAACACAUGCAAGUCGAACGGCAGCACAGUAAAAGCUUGCUCUUACGGGUGGCGAGUGGCGGACGGGUGAGGAAUACAUCGGAAUCUACUUUUUCGUGGGGGAUAACGUAGGGAAACUUACGCUAAUACCGCAUACGACCUACGGGUGAAAGCAGGGGAUCUUCGGACCUUGCGCGAAUGAAUGAGCCGAUGUCGGAUUAGCUAGUUGGCGGGGUAAAGGCCCACCAAGGCGACGAUCCGUAGCUGGUCUGAGAGGAUGAUCAGCCACACUGGAACUGAGACACGGUCCAGACUCCUACGGGAGGCAGCAGUGGGGAAUAUUGGACAAUGGGCGCAAGCCUGAUCCAGCCAUACCGCGUGGGUGAAGAAGGCCUUCGGGUUGUAAAGCCCUUUUGUUGGGAAAGAAAAGCAGCAGGUUAAUACCCCGCUGUUCUGACGGUACCCAAAGAAUAAGCACCGGCUAACUUCGUG